GAAACUAUGGGACGUUUUGGUAUAUAAUACGGUCAGUUCUGAUAUCAAACCAUUACCCUGGUGAGAGCUGACCUGGCAGCUACACAGGUUUUAAAGGAACAUUCCAUACGAAUCAUGAGGACUCUGUUUGUGCUCGUCCUUGUUUUCUGUUUAUUGUCCGGGGUCGAUGGUCAAAGGUUUGGCCGACGGGGAAGACGGAGGAGGGGGGGACGUCUCGGUGGACUCGGUCUAGGACUAACGCUUGGUUUACUCGGGAGCGGCUUAAGUCCAUAUGGUGGAUAUGGUGGAUUUAGUCCAUAUGGUGGAUUUGGUGGAUAUGGUGGAUUUAGUCCAUAUGGUGGAUUUGGUGGAUAUGGAUUCGGUGGUUACAGACCAUAUGGCUUAUUCGGUGGUGGUUAUAGACGCUUCGGAUUGCUUGGAUGAAUCAACGUGUAUGGUUUGUCAAAGAAAAUCCAUUUUAUUGAUGUUUUCCGAUAAUCAAAGUGGUGUAUGACGACAUAAAAAGCUUCGUGUAAUGUCAUUUUUGUCUUUUCCUCAUUUCAUGUAACGCUUUAUCGCAA